UACGGAGGGUGCGAGCGUUGUCCGGAAUCACUGGGCGUAAAGGGCGCGUAGGCGGCGCGGGUAGUCAUCGGUGAAAGUUCAGGGCUCAACUCUGAAUCGGCCGGUGAUACUCCCGUGCUCGAGCACUGUAGAGGCAGGUGGAAUUCCGGGUGAGCGGUGGAAUGCGUAGAGAUCCGGAAGAACACCGGUGGCGAAGGCGGCCUGACUGGGC
rnacentral:rRNA from 1 species